rnacentral:rRNA from 1 species
CAGCCGCCGCGGUAAAACAGAGGAUGCAAGCGUUAUCCGGAAUGAUUGGGCGUAAAGCGUCUGUAGGUGGCCUUUUAAGCGUAGGGUAUAAGGCAAUGGCUCAACCAUUGUUCGCCCUAUGAACUGGAAGGCUUGAGUGCAGGAGAGGAAAGCGGAAUUCCUAGUGUAGCGGUGGAAUGCAUAGAUAUUAGGAGGAACAUCAGCGGUGAAGGCGGCUUUCUGGACUGCAACUGACACUGAGGUACGAAAGCGUGGGGAGCAAACAGGAUUAGAUACCCGGGUAGUCCCUGUCUCUUAUACA